rnacentral:lncRNA from 1 species
CAGUUUUUCUGUUUGCUUCCCAAUUCGGUGCUAAGGAUGCUAUCUUUUGCUUUGUUAGCGUAAAUAUUGGCCCAACUUAUUUGGUCUUUUUCUUUCUUUCUUUCAUUUAUUAAAACUUCAGAUCUUUUGAUGAGACAGAAUCUGAAGAAUCAAGCAAGCUGUCCCACCAGCCCGUGUUGCUGUUCCUCGGGGAUCCAUACGUCUUGCCUGCAGCCAGCGAUUUUCCAAAUGUCGUCAUCGAAGGGGUUCUUCGUGGGGUAUUUUACUCUCACCGGCAGCCCAGGUAGAAACCCCACCUGGCUGCAAGAAGCCGAGCUAAGUGUCGACGGCAAUAGCAAGAAAGGCGAUCUCUCUACCACGUUAACUGAAACUCCAGGACACAGCAGCUCCAGCUAGUGGGAAAAGUCACAGUCCUGGCUUCCUUCAGAACAGGGACAUUUCUACUGAACGGUGCUUUUACAAUGAGAAACUGGACCAUGGCGGGGUCAGCCGAAGACUAGUUGUUGGAGAAGUGAAAGGGAGAGGCCGACGUGGGAACUCAGGAAAAGGAGGCCACGGUGGAUUCCUGGGAGCCCCGAGUGUCACGAAACAGAUCCAGCCUAUGCAUCAGUCGCUCCAUUUGUUCAUUGGAAACCAACCAUAUCCUGAGUCACGAUGACACUGAGCAGCUUCAGGGGCCCUGACACGCCCAUCCUUACACCAUGAGAUUUUUCUCAUCAGGGAUACUCCAGAAGGAGUGCAGGUACCCGAAGACUAUCCUGAAACGCACUGUGCCCGACUAGACGUCCAGUUAUACUGACAGAGAACGCAUUGAAGAAUAGAGCGCAUUCAAUUCUCCAUUACAGUGGGGUUGCUGCCCGCCUCCAGGUUAGCUUCUCGCAUCAGCCGCUUGAGGUGAAAUGGGGUGUUGGGACAAUCCUCGAGAUCCCUCUAGAAAGAAGCUGUGCCGGAAGUGUGCCCUCCGCCAUUUUUUCCUCUAGUAUUGGAAAGAGUGAGUGCUCCUCUGAGGACCUACUGAUACUCUGGCAAGGUUCCAGGGGCCAUUUCAUACAGAAAGUACAUACUUUAAAUACUAGAAUCACACUGAAAAUCACGUCCGUAGGAACUGGACGUGAGUUGACCGUGGCUGCGACAAGAACAGAUGGACUGUUUGUGGCUGGGUUUCCUCAGCGGUGUACAUUCAUGGUGUUGUCACAGGCCUUUGUGUGGUUGUUCUGACGUGUGUCGUGUACGGAAUCAUGUAAGCUAGCUGUUUGAUGCUGUCUCUCCACUGGGUGUCACACAGACAGCCAUCUUCCCCGUAGUGAUGGAGCAGAGUGUGUGUCCUUCCUCUGUGUGUGUGCUGAUGAACAGCCUACUAAUGGUUAUGAAUUUUCAUAAAUUUAAAUGUGGGAGAAAAUAAUUUACAAUUAAAAUACCAUGUCAUGAAUUUUUAUUGGAGUCUGAACUUCCAGAUUGAAAGCCUGCUGCAAACUUUUAAAGAUACAUUUUUAUGAUGGAUUGUGUAAUUACAUGUUGGAAAUAAAGUAACCAAGUGUUAUCA